rnacentral:rRNA from 1 species
GCUUGGCCCUAAAUCCAGAUGUCCACGCACAUGCACAUCCGCCCGAGAACUACGAGCAUAAACGCUUAAAACUCUAAGGACUUGGCGGUGCCCUAAACCCACCUAGAGGAGCCUGUUCUGUAAUCGAUAAUCCACGAUCCACCCGACCACUUCUUGCCAAAACAGCCUACAUACCGCCGUCCCCAGCCCACCUCCAUGAGAGAACAACAGUGAGCCCAACAGCCCCACACCAGCCACUAACAAGACAGGUCAAGGUAUAGCCCACGAAGUGGAAGAAAUGGGCUACAUUUUCUAAGAUAGAACAACCCCGACGGAAGGGAGCCUGAAACCUGCCCCCAAAAGGAGGAUUUAGCAGUAAAGUAGGAUAAGAGAGCCUUCUUUAAGCCGGCCCUAGGGC